ensembl:lncRNA
CACUUGGGCUCUCUUGGCACUGCCCAUCCGACAAGCUUAGCUAUCGAAACCGCCCACUAUCCACAGAUGAGCCCACUAUGCGCAAUAUUUAUAGAGUGCUAGCGUCUCAAUAUGACCCUCUUGGUUAUAUUUUGCCUUAUACCACCCGGGCUAAAAUCCUUGUUCAAGCUCUGUGGAUAAACGAAAGGGGCUGGGAUGACUGCAUUGAAAAAAGGAUGCUUGACAAAUGGCAAGAGUGGACCAAUGAACUGCAGUAUCUUCCCAUGAUAGGGAUGCCAAGGUGCUAUUUCCCAGUCUGUCCAGAAUCUGACAAUGACAAGAUUGAAUUGCAUGUAUUUUGCGAUGCCUCUGAGAGGGCUUAUGGUUCAGUGGCAUAUCUGCGCCUACAAGACAAAGAGGGAAAUAUUCAUACCUCAUUUGUUAUGGCUAGAUCCCGUGUUGCACCCAAAAAGCAACUAUCAAUGCCCCGACUGGAACUGUGUGGUGCCCUUACCGGUGCACAAUUGGCUAAACUCCUCUUAACUGAAAUUAGCCUACCUAUCCAUAACAUUGUUCUCUGGACAGACUCCACUACAGUUCUCACUUGGAUCAAAUCUGAAUCCUGUCAUUACAAGGUGUUUGUUGGCACACGGAUUGCCGAAAUACAGGAGUUGACCAGUUCAGAGAACUGGAGAUAUGUGGAGUCAGAGCUAAACCCUGCUGAUGAUAUUACAAGAGGGAAAUCUCUCUAUGAACUCUCUCAUGAAUGUCAAUGGAAUCAGGGCCCUUACUUCCUCCAACAGUCACCAGAAAACUGGCCCAAGCCGCCUACCUUAUCCUCAACUGAUGAGAACGAGCUAAGAAAGUCAUUCUUCUGUGCUCAUGUUGCUGUUCUGCACCCUUCCCUACCAGAUCCAAAGCAGUACCCAACAUGGUCAGACUUGGUUCAAGCUACCUACCAGUCUGUACAUGGAGCUUUAGCACCCUCAAUGUCAGCUUCACAACGCAUUGAUACUGAACUGCUUCUUCUCAGACAAGCUCAGCAGGAUAGUUUCCCUGAUGAAGUCUGUGCACUUCAAGAUGGCAAGGUCAUACGUGCUAGCAGUAGGUUAUGUACUUUGUCACCUGAAUAUGAUCAAACCUUGGGAGUAAUUCGGGUAGGAGGUCGCCUUCGCAAAGCUGAGAAACUUGAAGUUGAUACUUUGCAUCCUAUUGUAUUGGCACCUGAUCAUCCCAUCACUAAACUCAUAAUACAAGACUAUGACAACAGACUUCUUCAUCCCGGUCCUGAGCGUGUCUUCGCAGAGUUGCGAAGAACUUACUGGAUUAUCCGAGGUAGACAAGCCGUAAAGAAACAUCAACACCAGUGCAUAGAAUGCACAAAAUGGCGCCGUAGUCCAGUCAACCCUAAAAUGGCUGAUCUUCCCGCUGCUCGUCUUCGCUUAU